rnacentral:rRNA from 1 species
UGGGGAAUAUUGCACAAUGGGCGCAAGCCUGAUGCAGCCAUGCCGCGUGUGUGAAGAAGGCCUUCGGGUUGUAAAGCACUUUCAGCGGGGAGGAAGGCGAUAAGGUUAAUAACCUUGUCGAUUGACGUUACCCGCAGAAGAAGCACCGGCUAACUCCGUGCCAGCAGCCGCGGUAAUACGGAGGGUGCAAGCGUUAAUCGGGAUUACUGGGCGUAAAGCGCACGCAGGCGGUCUGUCAAGUCGGAUGUGAAAUCCCCGGGCUUAACCUGGGAACUGCAUUCGAAACUGGCAGGCUAGAGUCUUGUAGAGGGGGGUAGAAUUCCAGGUGUAGCGAUGAAAUGCGUAGAGAUCUGGAGGAAUACCGGUGGCGAAGGCGGCCCCCUGGACAAAGACUGACGCUCAGGUGCGAAAGCGUGGGGAGCAAACAGG